rnacentral:rRNA from 1 species
UGGGGAAUAUUGGACAAUGGGCGAAAGCCUGAUCCAGCCAUGCCGCGUGUGUGAAGAAGGUCUUCGGAUUGUAAAGCACUUUAAGUUGGGAGGAAGGGCAGUAAGCGAAUACCUUGCUGUUUUGACGUUACCGACAGAAUAAGCACCGGCUAACUCUGUGCCAGCAGCCGCGGUAAUACAGAGGGUGCAAGCGUUAAUCGGAAUUACUGGGCGUAAAGCGCGCGUAGGUGGUUCGUUAAGUUGAAUGUGAAAGCCCCGGGCUCAACCUGGGAACUGCAUCCAAAACUGGCGAGCUAGAGUAGGGCAGAGGGUGGUGGAAUGUCCUGUGUAGCGGUGAAAUGCGUAGAUAUAGGAAGGAACACCAGUGGCGAAGGCGACCACCUGGGCUCAUACUGACACUGAGGUGCGAAAGCGGGGGGAGCAAACAGG